rnacentral:ncRNA from 1 species
CUAUGUUUCUAGGCAAUGAUUCAUGGCAAAAGGAG